rnacentral:rRNA from 1 species
GACGUAGGGCGCGAGCGUUGUCCGGAUUUAUUGGGCGUAAAGAGCUCGUAGGCGGCUCGUUGCGUCGGCUGUGAAAACCCGCAGCUCAACUGUGGGCUUGCAGCUGAUACGGGCGGGCUGGAGUUCGGUAGGGGAGACUGGAAUUCCUGGUGUAGCGGUGAAAUGCGCAGAUAUCAGGAGAAACACCGGUGGCGAAGGCGGGUCUCUGGGCCGAUACUGACGCUGAGGAGCGAAAGCGUGGGGAGCGAACAGG